rnacentral:rRNA from 1 species
ACGAAGGGUGCGAGCGUUGUUCGGAAUUACUGGGCGUAAAGGGCGCGUAGGCGGUUAGAUAAGAUAGGGGUGAAAUUCCAAGGCUUAACCUUGGGACUGCCUUUAUAACUAUUUAGCUAGAGUAUGGGAGAGGUAAGUGGAAUACCCAGUGUAGCGGUGAAAUGCGUAGAUAUCAGGAGGAACACCGGUGGCGAAGGCGGCUUACUGGACCGAAACUGACGCUGAGACGCGAAAGCGUGGGUAGCAAACAG